UUGAAGCUAACUAAGCCAACCAGGUCUCUUUCCCCAUGGGGGCCUGGUGUGCAAUGGUUGCAAACAGCAGCUUCCUUGGUAGUGUAUGCAGCCUGAUGCCUGUAUAGGUUGCUCUAAGGGACCUUGGAGACAAUU